UACGGGGGGGGGCAAGCGUUGUUCGGAAUUACUGGGCGUAAAGGGCGCGUAGGCGGCCUUCUAAGUCGGACGUGAAAUCCCUCGGCUUAACCGAGGAACUGCGUCCGAUACUGAAAGGCUUGAAUCCGGGAGAGGGAUGUGGAAUUCCAGGUGUAGCGGUGAAAUGCGUAGAUAUCUGGAGGAACACCGGUGGCGAAGGCGGCGAGUCCUGG
rnacentral:rRNA from 1 species